rnacentral:rRNA from 1 species
AUGCCCCUGGACUUCACCAAGCACUUCAUCGCGGUGCCGACGGAGUUCAAGCUCAGGAACAACACCGACUGCUCCUGGAAGGUGACGGUCAAGCUGAUGAACGGCAGGGUGACCCUGGAUCAGGGUUGGGCCACCUACGCAACCGUUCAUCAGAUCAAGAUCGGCUACAUGGUGACGUUCAAGCUCCUCACUCCCGACACCCUCAAGGUCAUCAUCUUCGACGACGAUGGCAUUGAGGUCGUCAACAAGUGCGGGAAGCACGACGAAGCCUUCGCCGCCAAAGAGUUGGGCCGGGCCACCUCUUUCGAGCGUACUGUCGAGUCUGCUUUGAACAUGUUUAUGGUUUAUGCGUUGAACUGUUAUAUCUGUGGUACUGCUUAUAUCUGA